GGAGCUCAUAUCUAGCUGGGAAAUGUGGUAGUUUUAAGACAUGUCUGCAAAUUCUUUCAUCUUUUUCUCAUCAAGAUGUGGGUUCUCUAUUCCUCACCUUGAACCUGGGCCCACCUUAAUGAUUGGUUGGUCACCAGCAUAAAGAGGAAGUGAUAUUCUGUGACUUCCAGGCUGGGCCAUAGAAGCCAGGCAGUUUCCUCUUGGUUCCCUGGAUCACUUGCACUGGAGCUGCCACGUAAGAAGUCUGACCAUCCCGAGGCCUCUAUGCUGUGAGGAAGCCCAAAUUAGUCCACAUGGAGAUGCCCUGAGUCUACAAGAAAAGAGAGGACAGACAGAGAUGCUCCUCUAGACACCAUUUCGCUGAAACCACAUGAGGGUUCACCAAGCCAAGACCGCUGAGCUGAGCCUUUCCCAGGUUCCUGACCACAGAAACCAUAAGAGAUAAUAACGUGAUUGAUGGUGGCCAGACACAGUGACUCACACCUGAAAUCCCAGCACUUUGGGAGGCUGAGAUGAGAAAGCUAAAGCUUGGUGAGAUUACGGAAGCCUACAGUUACACAGCUGACUCCCUCCAGAGGCCCCAUCCACACCCACUGUUGGACUCCUGCUACUCUCGGAGGCUUGGAGUUGGUUUCUCCUCCCCCAAAUCGGUCUCAACACUUACCCUUACUUCCUGCUCUUCGUGGUCUCAGCCUCACUGUUCUUCGUGGACUCAUUUUUUCUCUUCCCUUUGUUUUAUUUUUGUCUCUUUCUUUCUUUUUUGGCUUCAGUGGAGUCCUAGCCUUAAGGUUUUCCUUCUCUAACCCCUUGUUCCCCUUCCAUUCUCUUUCCAGCCCUCUGUAAGCUGCAGCACAGUGUUUACAGUUAAGCCAGCCUCCAUUGAGGCCUUCAGUUGCCGAAGUUCAAAAAAAUCAACCUAGAAUAACAACGUAUUGUUAUAUAAAUGGCAUCUCAGAAAUAAACUAGUCAAAUAC
rnacentral:lncRNA from 1 species